rnacentral:rRNA from 1 species
CCUACGGGUGACAGCAGUGAGGAAUAUUGGUCAAUGGCCGAGAGGCUGAACCAGCCAAGUCGCGUGAGGGAAGACUGCCCUACGGGUUGUAAACCUCUUUUGUCGGGGAGCAAAGCGAGCCACGUGUGACUCAUUGAGAGUACCCGAAGAAAAAGCAUCGGCUAACUCCGUGCCAGCAGCCGCGGUAAUACGGAGGAUGCGAGCGUUAUCCGGAUUUAUUGGGUUUAAAGGGUGCGCAGGCGGAGUUUCAAGUCAGCGGUAAAAUUGCGGGGCUCAACCCCGUACAGCCGUUGAAACUGAUUCCCUUGAGUGCGCGAGAAGUAUGCGGAAUGCGUGGUGUAGCGGUGAAAUGCAUAGAUAUCACGCAGAACUCCGAUUGCGAAGGCAGCAUACCGGCGCGCGACUGACGCUCAUGCACGAAAGCGUGGGUAUCGAACAGGAUUAGAUACCCGAGUAGUC